CCUCCUCUCUACCUCCUUGCGGCAUCUUGGUCAAUGGCCGUAAGGCUGAACCAGCCAAGUCGCGUGAAGGAAGAAGGAUCUAUGGUUUGUAAACUUCUUUUAUAGGGGAAUAAAGGUAUCCACGUGUGGAUAUUUGCAUGUACCCUAUGAAUAAGCAUCGGCUAACUCCGUGCCAGCAGCCGCGGUAAUACGGAGGAUGCGAGCGUUAUCCGGAUUUAUUGGGUUUAAAGGGUGCGUAGGUUGUUUUUUAAGUCAGCGGUGAAAGUUUGUGGCUCAACCAUAAAAUUGCCGUUGAAACUGGAAGACUUGAGUGUGUUUGAGGUAGGCGGAAUGCGUGGUGUAGCGGUGAAAUGCAUAGAUAUCACGCAGAACUCCGAUUGCGAAGGCAGCUUACUAAGCCAUAACUGACACUGAAGCACGAAAGCGUGGGGAUCAAACAGGAUUAGAUACCCUUGUAGUC
rnacentral:rRNA from 1 species